UACGUAGGGUGCAAGCGUUAUCCGGAAUUAUUGGGCGUAAAGAGCUCGUAGGCGGUUUGUCGCGUCUGCUGUGAAAACUGGAGGCUCAACCUCCAGCCUGCAGUGGGUACGGGCAGACUAGAGUGCGGUAGGGGAGAUUGGAAUUCCUGGUGUAGCGGUGGAAUGCGCAGAUAUUAGGAGGAACACCAAUGGCGAAGGCAGAUCUCUGGGCCGUAACUGACACUGAGGAGCGAAAGCAUGGGGAGCGAACAGG
rnacentral:rRNA from 1 species